AUUGAACGCUGGCGGCAGGCCUAACACAUGCAAGUCGAGCGGAAACGAGUUAUCUGAACCUUCGGGGAACGAUAACGGCGUCGAGCGGCGGACGGGUGAGUAAUGCCUAGGAAAUUGCCCUGAUGUGGGGGGUAACCAUUGGAAACGAUGGCUAAUACCGCAUGAUGCCUACGGGCCAAAGAGGGGGACCUUCGGGCCUCUCGCGUCAGGAUAUGCCUAGGUGGGAUUAGCUAGUUGGUGAGGUAAGGGCUCACCAAGGCGACGAUCCCUAGCUGGUCUGAGAGGAUGAUCAGCCACACUGGAACUGAGACACGGUCCAGACUCCUACGGGAGGCAGCAGUGGGGAAUAUUGCACAAUGGGCGCAAGCCUGAUGCAGCCAUGCCGCGUGUGUGAAGAAGGCCUUCGGGUUGUAAAGCACUUUCAGUCGUGAGGAAGGUAGUGUAGUUAAUAGCUGCAUUAUUUGACGUUAGCGACAGAAGAAGCACCGGCUAACUCCGUGCCAGCAGCCGCGGUAAUACGGAGGGUGCGAGCGUUAAUCGGAAUUACUGGGCGUAAAGCGCAUGCAGGUGGUUUGUUAAGUCAGAUGUGAAAGCCCGGGGCUCAACCUCGGAAUAGCAUUUGAAACUGGCAGACUAGAGUACUGUAGAGGGGGGUAGAAUUUCAGGUGUAGCGGUGAAAUGCGUAGAGAUCUGAAGGAAUACCGGUGGCGAAGGCGGCCCCCUGGACAGAUACUGACACUCAGAUGCGAAAGCGUGGGGAGCAAACAGGAUUAGAUACCCUGGUAGUCCACGCCGUAAACGAUGUCUACUUGGAGGUUGUGGCCUUGAGCCGUGGCUUUCGGAGCUAACGCGUUAAGUAGACCGCCUGGGGAGUACGGUCGCAAGAUUAAAACUCAAAUGAAUUGACGGGGGCCCGCACAAGCGGUGGAGCAUGUGGUUUAAUUCGAUGCAACGCGAAGAACCUUACCUACUCUUGACAUCCAGAGAACUUUCCAGAGAUGGAUUGGUGCCUUCGGGAACUCUGAGACAGGUGCUGCAUGGCUGUCGUCAGCUCGUGUUGUGAAAUGUUGGGUUAAGUCCCGCAACGAGCGCAACCCUUAUCCUUGUUUGCCAGCGAGUAAUGUCGGGAACUCCAGGGAGACUGCCGGUGAUAAACCGGAGGAAGGUGGGGACGACGUCAAGUCAUCAUGGCCCUUACGAGUAGGGCUACACACGUGCUACAAUGGCGCAUACAGAGGGCGGCCAACUUGCGAAAGUGAGCGAAUCCCAAAAAGUGCGUCGUAGUCCGGAUUGGAGUCUGCAACUCGACUCCAUGAAGUCGGAAUCGCUAGUAAUCGUGGAUCAGAAUGCCACGGUGAAUACGUUCCCGGGCCU
rnacentral:rRNA from 1 species